AUUGAACGCUGGCGGAAUGCUUUACACAUGCAAGUCGAACGGUAGAGGGGGCAACCCCUCGAGAGUGGCGAACGGGUGAGUAAUAUAUCGGAACGUGCCCAGUCGUGGGGGAUAACGUAGCGAAAGUUGCGCUAAUACCGCAUACGAUCUAAGGAUGAAAGUGGGGGAUCGCAAGACCUCGCGCGAUUGGAGCGGCCGAUAUCAGAUUAGGUAGUUGGUGGGGUAAAGGCUCACCAAGCCAACGAUCUGUAGCUGGUCUGAGAGGACGACCAGCCACACUGGUACUGAGACACGGUCCAGACUCCUACGGGAGGCAGCAGUGGGGAAUUUUGGACAAUGGACGCAAGUCUGAUCCAGCCAUUCCGCGUGCAGGAUGAAGGCCCUCGGGUUGUAAACUGCUUUUGUACGGAACGAAAAGGUCUCUCUUAAUACGGGGGACUCAUGACGGUACCGUAAGAAUAAGCACCGGCUAACUACGUGCCAGCAGCCGCAGUAA
rnacentral:rRNA from 1 species